rnacentral:rRNA from 1 species
CCCUUAGAUGUCCUGGGCCGCACGCGUGCUACACUGACGCAUACAGCGAGCACUUUCCAGUUCCGAGAGGCUACUGGUAAUCAUCAAUAUGCGUCGUGAUGGGGAUAGAUCUUUGGAAUUCUGGAUCUUGAACGAGGAAUGCCUAGUAAUCGCAGGUCAUUAGCCUGCGAUGAUUAAGUCCCUGCCCUUUGUACACACCGCCCGUCGCUACUACCGAUUUCGAGUGGUCAGGUGAAUCUUUCGGACUGUGGGCGCCCUUGAGGUGUUCGCGGAAAGUCAGGUAAAGCUUAUCACUUAGAGGAAGUAAAAGUCGUAACA